GCACAAUCAGCUUGAUGUUGAGGAGAAGGGCUGUGCAGCAGAGAGGCUGUUUAGUUGCUUGAUUCUACUGCAGUGGAAGAACAUUGUUCAUCUGCUGUCUGUUUGGCUUCAACAACUCCAAAGACAUGUUGCUUUACCUCUUUUUGCUUUUAUCUGACUUCAUAGAGUGUAAAGGAGAAGACAAGGUGAUCCAGGAAACAGGAGAUGUCAUUGCUGCUGAAGGAGAGAUAGUUACACUCCCCUGUACAUUUGAGACCAGCAACCCAACUCCAACUCUGUUCUGGUACAAACAAGAAACAAAUGAUUUUCCAAAGCUUCUGCUGCAGCGCGUCUCAACAGCAGCAGGUAAUCCUGCAGAAAAACAGAAAGAGAGAAUCGAUGCUGUGGCCAACAAGACAUCAGUUCCUCUGGAGAUCCAGAUACUUCAGCUGUCUGACUCUGCUGUGUACUACUGUGCUCUGCAGCCCACAGUGACAGGAAACAGCACAACUCUGUACAAAAACCUUUGGAGCAAAGACAACAGAAUACUCCACAACAUCCACUAGAGGGAGUCACACACUGUUCAACCUCAAUGGUUUCUUAUGAUCCAGUCUAGAUUCUUUGGACUGAUCAGAAUCAAACAACAGAAAAUGAAGCAGUAAAUGUCAGAGACACAGAGCUGCUCUGAAAGUUGAA